UUUCUCCCCCCCCCCCCCACCCCCAACCACUAUAAAUUAAUGUUUGGAUUUGUAUAAUGCCAAGAAAUUUUGAUACCAUUAUUUAUCUAGAAACUUCAUUCCACAUUUAAAUGUCCUCAUAUGAAAGACAUUUUGAUGUGAAGAUUUUUUUGCAAUUAUUGCCCUUGUUGAUCUAUACUAUGUAUUUAAAGUACACUGUGUAUUUCAUUAUGUGUUUCACCGUCAAGUUUUGGGAGAGCGUGGGGUAUGUGAGCUAGCGCACUUUUUCUUUCAUUUAAUAUUUGUUAUAAUUAAUGCCCACAUCACAGGGGAUGGAUAAAAAAGAUAAUUGUAAUUUUCUGACGGGCGUAUCAUGCUGUGGCGUGGCACUUUAUCGUCCAGCCAUUACUAGAAAUUAAAGAAAUUGAAAGGAAGCUAUGCAAUUAAACCGAGAAAAAAUGGAAAGAAGGCUUACCAAAAUAAAGGACAGAUCUCUCUAACAUUUUUAACGAAACAUGAGUUCGGUGUCCAACCCUCAGACAAAAUUUAAUGACAGUGCAACUUCUGCAUAUUAAUUAUGUUUAGUUGCAAUUUUUUUAUGGAAUAUCACCCGUAGUCAAGGAAUGUUACCGUUGCUUCGCUGGUGAUAACGGCUUCAUCAUUAAUCAGAUAAUAGUGCUUUUAACAAAUGAAUAGCAUUUAAUCAAAACCAAUUAAUUAACAUGAAAGUUUAAUGUUUUAGAAUUGAUAAAACUGAAGAAGGUUUAGAGACAAUCAAAUCAAAUGUCAAAGAAAUAGAAAAAAUAAUCAACCGUAAUGAAGGAGCUACAGAAUAGGGGCUCGUUGAAUAUUGUGUAGAAUAUUAAAGAAUUGCAUGUUUUACAUAGUUUUAUGAGAAUGGAGAGUUCAUUUGAUGUAAAUGUGCAUCCUAUACUGCUUGUACCUAUUUUAGAGUAGCUGCAUAGUUCAAAUUUGUAUGGAAGUGUCGGACGAGAAAAGAAUAUUUUUAUUAACGAACACAGAUUUGCGAUCCAACUUUGUUGCUUGUAUUGAUUGAUCAUUCCAUUUUGAUUUUGUAUUGUAAACUAAAUAUCCAUUGCUUAUAUAAAUAUACAUGUACAUUAUAUUUUAUUAGUACAAAGAUUUACAAUCCUACUGUGUAGCUUUAUAUGUUUUUUUUAUUUAUGUAUUGUGUUAUUUAUAUCCAACAUGCUUCAAUUGAUUGACAGAAUGUUUUAUGAUAAUAAAAAUAUUCAAGCAUAUAAUUCAUAGGCGUCGGAACGGGAGGGGGGCUAUAUUUUUUGCAAAUAUAUACAUAAUACAUUGUUAGAUAGACAUUAAAAAUUUUAGUUUACCUUAUUUUUCUGGUUUAGCUCCCCCCCCCCCACACACAUAUACACAAAUUCAGUUUGCUUCCGACGCCUAUGUAAUAAAAUACCUCUUUGGCUCUCUACUGAGCACCUUGGGGCUUAAAAUGCUGACAAGCUCACUGUAACAACGGUGACUAAGGGCAGGGUCACUUUAUUGAUCCAUCUGUAUGUAAAUCAGCAAUCAAAUCAAUAUAUUGAAUAUUUUUUUCUACCUAUUAGACGAUUUUUUUUCGGCACUAACGGGAAUAACAAUGCCAGUAUACUGUACCUGUCCAUACAUAUCCAUCGAUUAUUUUCCUUAAAUCACAGGACAUCAUAUAUUUAUUGACUAUACUUUAAGUGAAUAGACACUAGACAAAUUUUGACAUAUUCAGUAAUUGCAUUAUUUAUAUCUAUAAAUGAAUAGGUAGGCAUGUUGAGCAGUGAAGGAUAAGGAUAUCUUUUUCGUUAUGAACAGUCUUUAAAGGGGCAUAGACACAGUUCAGCUAAAAUAUUUAACUAAGGUCUUUCUAAUGAUCAUAAAAAAUUUAGAAUUCAGUUGUUGAGAUACAAGACAGAUUUAGAGCUCCAAACCUUGGUUAUGUAAACAGAGUUCGUGUCAUGUUUCGUUUACAUAGAUUAAUUUACUAAUAUAUGUUCGUUUAAGGCAAAUAAGCUCAGUUAUGAAGUUAAUUCUAAAUACUAUUAGAAAGUUUCUAGUGAUUUGCUGAAUUUCAUUUUGUUAUAAAUAUAUUUUCUACAUGUAAACAAAAACGAGGCACGAACCUUGUUUACAUUCUGAAGAACUUUUAGUUCUGUAUCACGUUUGUUAAUCAAUAAAUGAUGUUCAAAUUCUUGCUGAUCAUUAGAUGAUGCAUUAUUUAGGAAUUGUAAGCAUUGAAAUUGAUUAAAAAAUUUAGUUGAAACUGUAUCCAUGUCCCUUUAAGUCCAACAGUGGGAUUCGAACCCUUUAAGUCCCACACUGGGAUUCGAACCCUUUAAGUCCCACACUGGGAUUCGAACCCGUGAGAUAAGGAUUAACUCCUUACUUCCCCGAAUCAAGAGCAGAUGCUCUAACUAGAUAGGCGACUGUAUCUAAGGAAUAUAUGAAUAGAAGUAAUAUGAAUCAAUUUGUUUAUAUUUCAUAUAAUAUUUUUAAAAAAGGGGGGCUUCCAAUUGUAGGUAUUUAAAGUAGAAAAUAGUUUCUAAGGUAGGAUUCUUCUCACACAAAACUAUUUCUUGUAUUUAAAAAUUAAUGAAAUUUUCAUAGAAUCGAGAAGACUAUAUUACUAAGUGAUGGUAUUAGUAACAUAAGAUUCGACUGUUUUAUAGUACAGUCAUGGUCAGGUCGAGGUCAUUUACUUUUCCCUGAUCAUUAAGAAUUAAAAAAAAAAAACUGCAUCCAGUCAUGAGAUAAGGUCUUCUAUUUCAAAAGAAGAAAUGUUUUUCUUUUUGCAUAGAAAGAUAUUAGGUACCAUAAAGGAUCUUUAAGUUGAUAUAACCAAAUUGACACAAAUAGUUUAACAAAAGUAGAUUUUGGCUAAUUCGAAUUUUCUCUGUUUUUCUUUAUUUGUAGGAUAUUAAAAUUAUUUUUAUAUGCGCCCUAUCUUAAAAUUUUUCUUAUUUUUUACAUAUGGUAAAGCAGUCAUGUAGAGAUACAAAAUGAUGCAAAAUUAAAAGAUUUGACCGUUUAGUAAGAGAGUAAAACCACUUCCUAUGGAUUUUUGGCUCAUAUCUGUACUUAGAGUUUAAGCCUUUAAAAGCUAACGUAAUUGUAGAUUGCUUGGAAAUGCAUAUUUAUUUGAUAUAUCUAAACUUUAGUUCCUUAUUAUAAAUUAACAUUUGAAAAAAAAAAUCUUCUAGUCUUUGAUUGUGUAAAAAUUAUAAGUAAAUCAGUAGUUUUAUAAUAAUUUUGAGAAGAAGAAUAGAAGAUAUUUUUGUACGCCACCAUUCAUAUCCACUAUUUCCUGCUAGUUUUCGAAAAUAAUUUACCAUCUGUAUUUAAAGUUGUACAAUGGUGAUGGGGAAAGAAAGAUAUGGUCUUUUAAAUACUGCUCACAAAUAAACUGUUUCAAGCAACAUC